rnacentral:rRNA from 1 species
AACGAACGCUGGCGGCGUGGAUAAGACAUGCAAGUCGAGCGAGAUAUUCCGCUGUAGCAAUACAGUGGAAAGUCUAGCGGCGAACGGGUGCUUAACACGUGGGCAACCUGCCGAGAAGUGGGGGAUAGCUCGCCGAAAGGCGAAUUAAUACCGCAUGUGGUUAGAGUGGACAUCCAUUCAAAAUCAAAGUCGGGGCAACCUGACGCUUCUUGUGGGGCCCGCGGCCUAUCAGCUUGUUGGUGAGGUAACGGCUCACCAAGGCGAUGACGGGUAGCUGGUCUGAGAGGACGACCAGCCACACUGGGACUGAGACACGGCCCAGACACCUACGGGUGGCAGCAGUCGAGAAUUUUUGACAAUGGGGGAAACCUUGAUCGAGCGACGCCGCGUAGAGGAUGAAGGUCUUCGGAUUGUAAACUCCUGUCAUUGGGGAACAAUGCGUGACGGUUAACUGCCGUCGCGUUGAUAGUACCCGAAGAGGAAGAGACGGCUAACUCUGUGCCAGCAGCCGCGGUAA